UGCAGGCCCAACCCAAGAACAAGCUAAGGACAAAGGAAGCAAGAAUGUUGAGAUAAAAUAUCUACUGCACAAAUAUCAAACAGACAAUUUUUUAUUUCUUUUAUGAUUUAAUUAUUGGGGUGGGUAAGGGAAAAGGGCAAAAAUAAGUAAGGGCAGGAGGGAUUGCGGAAGGCGCAGGUCAAAGUUACAGUACAAAAUGCAGAAUAUAUCAUCGCAUUAACUCUUUCUUUGAGGAGAAUAUACUACAGCCCUAUGGAGUUCAAAACUCACAUUCUCACGUCUCAUGUCAACAGGAAACAAUUAUCAAAGGUUGGAAUGAUAAAAAGGACAGAAUCAUACAUCCUGGACCAAAGCUACAAAGGCACUAUUUUUACAUAAUCAACAUA
rnacentral:misc_RNA from 1 species